rnacentral:rRNA from 1 species
ACGAUGACUAGGGGGUCUGAGAGGAUGAUCCCCCACACUGGUACUGAGACACGGACCAGACUCCUACGGGAGGCAGCAGUGAGGAAUAUUGGGCAAUGGACGCAAGUCUGACCCAGCCAUGCCGCGUGCAGGAUGACUGCCCUAUGGGUUGUAAACUGCUUUUGUUUGGGAAGAAACCCCCGAUCGUGAUCGGGGCUGACGGUACCAUACGAAUAAGCAUCGGCUAACUCCGUGCCAGCAGCCGCGGUAAUACGGAGGAUGCAAGCGUUAUCCGGAUUCAUUGGGUUUAAAGGGUGCGCAGGCGGAAUAUUAAGUCAGUGGUGAAAUCCUGCAGCUUAACUGUAGAACUGCCAUUGAUACUGAUAUUCUUGAAUAUAGUUGAGGUGGGCGGAAUGUGUAAUGUAGCGGUGAAAUGCUUAGAUAUUACACAGAACACCAAUUGCGAAGGCAGCUCACUAAACUAAUAUUGACGCUGAGGCACGAAAGCGUGGGUAGCAAACAGGAUUAGAUACCCUGGUAGUCCACGCUGUAAACUAUGAUCACUCGCUGUUGGCAAUACAUCGUCAGCGGCUGAGCGAAAGCAUUAAGUGAUCCACCUGGGGAGUACGGUCGCAAGAUUGAAACUCAAAGGAAUUGACGGGGGCCCGCACAAGCGGAGGAACAUGUGGUUUAAUUCGAUGAUACGCGAGGAACCUUACCUGGGCUUAAAUGCAGAGCGACGUCCGCCGAAAGGUGGAUUCCUUCGGGCGAUCUGCAAGGUGCUGCAUGGUUGUCGUCAGCUCGUGCCGUGAGGUGUCGGGUUAAGUCCCAUAACGAGCGCAACCCUUAUCGUUAGUUGCCAGCGGGUAAUGCCGGGGACUCUAACGAAACUGCCGGUGUAAACCGUGAGGAAGGUGGGGAUGACGUCAAAUCAGCACGGCCCUUAUGUCCAGGGCUACACACGUGUUACAAUGGUCGGUACAGAGGGCAGCUACCACGCAAGUGGAUGCUAAUCUCGAAAACCGGUCUCAGUUCGGAUUGAAGUCUGCAACUCGACUUCAUGAAGCUGGAUUCGCUAGUAAUCGCGCAUCAGCCAUGGCGCGGUGAAUACGUUCCCGGGCCUUGUACACACCGCCCGUCAAGCCAUGGAAGCUUGGGGUACCUGAAGUCCGUAACCGCAAGGAGCGGCCUAGGGUAAGACAAGUGACUGGGGCU